UACGGGGGGGGCAAGCGUUGUUCGGAAUUACUGGGCGUAAAGGGCUCGUAGGUGGCCAACUAAGUCAGACGUGAAAUCCCUCGGCUUAACCGGGGAACUGCGUCUGAUACUGGAUGGCUUGAGUUUGGGAGAGGGAUGCGGAAUUCCAGGUGUAGCGGUGAAAUGCGUAGAUAUCUGGAGGAACACCGGUGGCGAAGGCGGGUCUCUGGGCCGAUACUGACGCUGAGGAGCGAAAGCGUAGGGAGCGAACAGG
rnacentral:rRNA from 1 species